rnacentral:lncRNA from 1 species
UUGUAGUUACUUUCUUGCCCUAGAGUUGAACUAGUAAAAGGUGCCCAUGCUGCGAGUGCAGUCGUAACGCUUUGACGUUGGAUCCGAGCCCAUGGAGAAAGUUGGAGCUGUAGAGCUGUAUGUUUUUGGACAAAGUCUUCAAUUC